rnacentral:rRNA from 1 species
UACGGGGGGAGCAAGCGUUGUUCGGAAUCACUGGGCGUAAAGGGAGUCUAGGCGGUUUGGUAAGUGGGAUGUGAAAUCCCCGGGCUCACCCCGGGACCUGCAUCCCAAACUACUGGGCUUGAAUACUGGAGAGGAUCGCGGAAUUCCCGGUGUAGAGGUGAAAUUCGUAGAUAUCGGGAGGAACACCAGUGGCGAAGGCGGCGAUCUGGACAGAUAUUGACGCUGAGGUGCGAAAGCGUGGGGAGCAAACAGG